rnacentral:tRNA from 1 species
GGUGAGGUGUCCGAGUGGUCGAAGGAGCACGCCUGGAAAGCGUGUAUAGGUUCACCCCUAUCGAGGGUUCGAAUCCCUCCCUCACCGCCA